UACGGAGGGUGCAAGCGUUGUUCGGAAUUAUUGGGCGUAAAGGGCGCGUAGGCGGUAAUGCAAGUCAGAUGUGAAAUACUCCGGCUCAACUGGGGAACUGCAUCUGAAACUGCAUAACUAGAGUACAGAAGAGGGAAACGGAAUUCCCGGUGUAGAGGUGAAAUUCGUAGAUAUCGGGAGGAACACCAGUGGCGAAGGCGGUUUCCUGGUCUGAUACUGACGCUGAGGCGCGAAAGUGUGGGGAGCAAACAGG
rnacentral:rRNA from 2 species